rnacentral:lncRNA from 1 species
UUGGUUCACUACUACAUCCUCAUUCAUGGAUGCUAAGUAAAAUCAUAAACUAUGCUAUAUUAAUCUAAACCAAUGAAGUUAAAAUUCACAUACAGUCCAGUGUUUUUUAUAAGUUUUACAGACAUUACAUAUUAGAAACGAUACCGAAAGGGAAAUUACACUCAUAAUACAAAAUUGAUAUAUAGAAACAUUAUUGUCUUCAUUAUAAGCUCAAUAAUCUCGAACGUACAUAGCUACUGCUUCUCAGAUUUUAAGUGAAGAUGGAUACCUGGAAUUUCAGCAAAAAUGGAACCUAUGAGUAAGGUUAAGAGAGUAGCAAGGAAACACAACAGCCACACAACCAGCAAAGACCCAGGAACUCAUGAAAUUUGAUAGGCAAAUAGUGACAAUAUAUCUCUAAAACAACCCAUAACUUGUAUCGAUUGUUAAGGAAAAUUUACUCAAAAGAAACAACUCGAAGAGAAUUUUCUGAAUAGUGUAUGAAGGUCUAAGGUGUAUUCUAUUCUGACUCUCUAAGAGCCUGAAAAAAAUCCCUAAUCCUUUUCAAAAAUCUGCUCGAAAAUAAUCCAAAAACAUCUCUUUGAAAUGAUCAGAUUGUCCCCUUUUAUAACUGAAACCUUAGGGCAACAUUCAUUUCUUUGUUUUCCUUUUAGCCGCUUAUCUAUUUUUCAGUUUUGCCUAACUGGUCCUUGGUUUUCUGACUUGUGCCUCAAGUUUGAGGCAGAAGCUAUAUUUAGACCCCUCAUUAGAAUGUUCUAGGAGUUUGUUACAAGAUUUCAUAUAUUCAAAUUCCCUUAAUACCCCUGUCCCUUUUCCUAAUUACUGUCCUGAUGGUUUUUAAUCUUGGUUCCCAUCUAUUUGGUCAAAAUUUACCUUAAUUAGUUGCUUCAGGUUAUAGACCAAAAUCAAGGUCUGAACUACAGACUCAAAUAAACAAUCAAAGAGUUUAAAAAUUAAUCAAUGCGACUCAUGGAUUCAAGCAAGUAUAUCAAUGUGGAUUUUACACUACUCAGUAACAAGGGACAAACCAAUUAUCACAACUUUCAGAAUCAUAUAAAUACUCAUGGAAAACUAAGACACCUAAUGGGUGGGCAUGCAUCUUUUUAUACAGCAAAACCAAUGAACCAAAACAAUCAGAAACGAAACCCAAUCAACUAUACAGGAUUUAUAAAGAUGACCAAAUUACAACACUCAGCAGAGAACUAAAGGCAAGUAAUGGGUAACAGAUAUUAAACACUCAGGAUAUACAUAAAUAAAAACCCAAGAAAUUAAAACAAGACUGGAAUCAGAAGUUAAAACAUUCAGAAAACAAACUUAGCCUAUCAAAUGCAAAUACAGAAGAUCAAAAUUAAUAGAAAAAGAAUCAUGACAAGUAUAAGACUCUAAAAGGAGACGCCUACUCAGAAUUUUCAAACAUGAUGUAAAACAAAUAAGAUCAACAAAGGUGAGCAUUUAACAGCCAUUCAGAAUUUUCAGAGAUGAACAAUGAAAGUCAGGAGACAAGGAUGAACAUGGGAGCAAACUACUCAGGAAGAUCUUGAAGGUGAAACAUAGAAGACAAAUGAACUCGAACCAGUAACACUAAAGAAAACCAAAAGAACAAAAGGCAAGGAUGACUGCUCAGAACAUUUGAAGAUGAGAAUGUAGAAAACAAGUAAAAGCAAAGUAACUAAAACAAGAAAAACCUGUAAGAGCACAGCAUUAAUAACAGUUAGAGCACAGGAAACUUAGCUUUCUUGCUUGGACUUGCAACCCCCUAAAUUGUAACUCUUCCAGCAAAAGAAUAGCAGGCAAGGAUGACUACUCAGAAAAAUUUAAGAUGAGAAUGUAGAAAACAAUUAAAAUUUAAAGAAAACAAAGUAAUUAAAAUAAGAAAUACAUACAAAAGCACAAGCAUUAACAGCAGUUAGAGCACAUGACACUUAGCUUUUUGCUCGUGCAACCCUAAAAAUAGGGUUCUCAAAUUUCCAGAUCUCUGACCUCUAGUGAGAGGUCCUUUGGCCUCCUAAGGUCUUUGCCUCUCAUAAUGGAGAGGGAAAACAGGG